rnacentral:lncRNA from 1 species
GGGCGGUUCGUUGAUGAUUAUCCUGAGGAGUUCUAUCAACUAGUAGUACGGAAAAACUUAUCUGAGACUGAAGAGCAACAGGUUGCUCGAUGUAUUGCAGGACUGCGCCAAUCAAUUCAGGACGUCCUAAGUUUAUACUCUUUAUGGAUUAUAUCGAAAACUUAUCAACAGGCUUUAACAGUAGAGAAGCAACAGUUCAGGAGUAGGGCUAGUGCAGCCAGGAGAG